rnacentral:sRNA from 1 species
GAAUCCCGUGCCGGUGCCUCCCCCAGUCAAGCCCCCUGUGCAUGCUGCCAGCCGCCGCCCUUGCUGGGUUUUUCUCGGAGGGCCGGGCCGUGGGCCGAAGGAAGAAGAGAAUUUAUCCAAAGAUUAAAACUUGAAGCAACCCUUAAUGUGCAUGAUGGUUGUGUUAAUACAAUCUGUUGGAAUGACACUGGAGAAUAUAUUUUAUCUGGCUCAGAUGACACCAAAUUAGUAAUUAGUAAUCCUUACAGCAGAAAGGUUUUGACAACAAUUCGUUCAGGGCACCGAGCAAACAUAUUUAGUGCAAAGUUCUUACCUUGCACAAAUGAUAAACAGAUUGUAUCCUGCUCUGGAGAUGGAGUAAUAUUUUAUACCAACGUUGAGCAAGAUGCAGAAACCAACAGACAAUGCCAAUUUACGUGCCAUUAUGGAACUACUUAUGAGAUUAUGACUGUACCCAAUGACCCUUACACUUUUCUCUCUUGUGGUGAAGAUGGAACUGUUAGGUGGUUUGAUACACGCAUCAAAACUAGCUGCACAAAAGAAGAUUGUAAAGAUGAUAUUUUAAUUAACUGUCGACGUGCUGCCACGUCUGUUGCUAUUUGCCCACCAAUACCGUAUUACCUUGCUGUUGGUUGUUCUGACAGCUCAGUACGAAUAUAUGAUCGGCGAAUGCUGGGCACAAGAGCUACAGGAAAUUAUGCAGGUCGAGGGACUACUGGAAUGGUUGCCCGUUUUAUUCCUUCCCAUCUUAAUAAUAAGUCCUGCAGAGUGACAUCUCUGUGUUACAGUGAAGAUG